GGGUUCCAAUAGCUAAAUGUAGUGUUAAUAAGUGGGGGUUGGUUGGAAGAGGUAGGUCACUGGGGGUGUGACCUAGUAGAGUGGAUCUGCCUCCCCAUUUUCUCCUCUUCACUCUCUGCUACCUGUUUGUCAUGCCCUGAGCAGCUCUCCUCUGCUGUGCCCCUCUGCCCACUAUGGACUGAAACAUGAACCAAAACAAACCUCUCCUCCCUUAAAUUCAUCUCUUUCUGAUGUUGGCAGAGACUCAAGCGAGAAACUUUCCAGGCAUUUGGAAGCUGUCACCUUUUGUUUCAAGAGUAUGGGGCAAGAGAUGUGGAGCAACAUUUCCCAGUACUGGGGAUUGAACCCAGGGCCUUGUGCAUGUGAGAUGGUUCUCCAUAAUCAGGAGGAAGGAAUGCUGAAGAAUCUGAACAGGCAAGCUUCACAGGGCUCCCUGCCCAGGCUAUCAGCAGUCAUGCCUAUGCCAUGAAG
ensembl:lncRNA